UACAGAGGGUGCGAGCGUUAAUCGGAAUUACUGGGCGUAAAGCGUGCGUAGACGGUAGCGUAAGUCAGAUGUGAAAGCCCCGGGCUCAACCUGGGAAUUGCAUUUGAGACUGCUCUGCUCGGGUGCGGAAGAGGGAAGCGGAAUUUCCGGUGUAGCGGUGAAAUGCAUUGAGAUCGGAAAGAACACCAACGGCGAAAGCACUCUGCUGGGCCGACACUGACACUGAGAGACGAAAGCUAGGGGAGCGAAUGGG
rnacentral:rRNA from 1 species